AGUGAACGCCGGCGGUAGGCCUAACACAUGCAAGUCGAACGGCAGCACAGUAAGAGCUUGCUCUUACGGGUGGCGAGUGGCGGACGGGUGAGGAAUACACCGGAAUCUACUUUUUCGUGGGGGAUAACGUAGGGAAACUUACGCUAAUACCGCAUACGACCUACGGGUGAAAGCAGGGGAUCUUUGGACCUUGCGCGAUUGAAUGAGCCGAUGUCGGAUUAGCUAGUUGGCGGGGUAAAGGCCCACCAAGGCGACGAUCCGUAGCUGGUCUGAGAGGAUGAUCAGCCACACUGGAACUGAGACACGGUCCAGACUCCUACGGGAGGCAGCAGUGGGGAAUAUUGGACAAUGGGCGCAAGCCUGAUCCAGCCAUACCGCGUGGGUGAAGAAGGCCUUCGGGUUGUAAAGCCCUUUUGUUGGGAAAGAAAAGCAGCAGGUUAAUACCCCGCUGUUCUGACGGUACCCAAAGAAUAAGCACCGGCUAACUUCGUG
rnacentral:rRNA from 1 species